GAUGAACGCUGGCGGCGUGCCUAAUACAUGCAAGUAGAACGCUGAAGGAAGGAGCUUGCUCUUUCCGGAUGAGUUGCGAACGGGUGAGUAACGCGUAGGUAACCUGCCUGGUAGCGGGGGAUAACUAUUGGAAACGAUAGCUAAUACCGCAUAACAGUGGAUGUUGCAUGAUAUCUACUUAAAAGGUGCAAUUGCACCACUACCAGAUGGACCUGCGUUGUAUUAGCUAGUUGGUGAGGUAACGGCUCACCAAGGCGACGAUACAUAGCCGACCUGAGAGGGUGAUCGGCCACACUGGGACUGAGACACGGCCCAGACUCCUACGGGAGGCAGCAGUAGGGAAUCUUCGGCAAUGGACGGAAGUCUGACCGAGCAACGCCGCGUGAGUGAAGAAGGGUUUCGGAUCGUAAAGCUCUGUUGUAAGAGAAGAACGAGUGUGAGAGUGGAAAGUUCACACUGUGACGGUAUCUUACCAGAAAGGGACGGCUAACUACGUG
rnacentral:rRNA from 1 species